rnacentral:misc_RNA from 1 species
AACGGUCUAUACCUGCGGUACCUGCGGAAGGAUCAUUAAUGAGAAACUGCCCCUCGCGGGUAGAUCUCCCACCCUUUGUAAACUUACCUUUGUUGCUUUGGCAGGCCCGUCUCCGGACCGCCGGCUUCGGCUGGCCAGUGCCUGCCAGAGGAUUCUAAAACUCUGUCUGUCAGUGUCGUCUGAGUCUAUAUACAAUCGUUAAAACUUUUAACAACGGAUCUCUAGAUCGGAAGAGCACAC